GGAAGGGGAGGGACGAGGACUCCUCCAUAUCUGUGUCCACAGAGCUGCAGUUCACUCUCCCUUCAUCGGCUGUCCUCCUCCGUGCUUUCUGUCCUCAACCAGGGCCCUGAAUCCAACUUCUUUCCGGGCAAUGGCCUGGGCCUAAACCAUCCCAGCAUGCAUUGCGUCUCAGCAGGUUUCCCACGAUGGCGAUAGACUUCCGUCCAAAUCAAGGUAGAGGGGGACAAAAUGUAAAGCUUUCUAAGCCCGUCACUAAACCAUUAGCGUAAUGGAGUCUCAUAAAACAGUGUUUAAAAAUAAACAAAUUGUUCAACUUGCAAAUUCUAAGGCCUCCAGAAAGAGCGAGACUUAUUCUGGAGGCCGUUGUUUGUUUGCCACCCGACAAUAAACUGACCAGCCCGCUGAGGCGGCCUCAGAUCCACCGGCCCUGUGCUCUCUGAGGUUAAAGGUCAGCUCGACUCUAAUCGAGUGUGGUGGCGUCAACGUUUUCGCUUCCCUGUCGGAAAAAAAGAAAAGAAUCGACACAAAGCACACAACUCAUUUCCAAACUUUUGAGAUGUACCUUCUGCAGCCAUGCAACUACGCGUGUGCCCGCUGCUGCAUCGUUGUGGAAGCUCAAACAAACCUGUUUCAAUUGGUCUGAUUGGGUCAGCAGACAGUUUGAAUGACUUUGUUUCGUGGGUCAAGCCGAUUGUUUCCCACUACUUUCUGCGUUUAUUAAUGCCUGUCUUCCUUUUUCCCUUUCCUUUAGAUUUGAGUGCCGUUUUGUGCCACAGAGGGAGGGCUUUUUUGUCAGACGUGCCCCCCUUGGAAGCUGGUUUCAGAUGGUGGCUUAGAGUGUUGGCAUCUAUCUAGCACCAUUUGAAAUCAGUGUUCUUGGGGUGGGAAGUGUGUCUCCCUGGCCAGCAACAGGAAGCGUCUCCUGAGGUGAAGCACUGCUCCACAAGUGACGUUCUGACAAGUUCUCCGUCCUUUCUCCAAAGUUGACCGAUUACUUUUGGUGUUCAGAGUCUGCUUUUGUUUCUAGCACCAUUUGAAAUCGGUUACAGUGAAGGACAGAUCUCGUCUCUUCAUUUUCACGGACUGUAGGUCGAUUGGAGUUACAAAUGAAACACAAUGAAUGACAUCUAGAUUUACGUUUGCAGUGGAGGAUGAAGUAUUCUGAUCCUUUACAGAAGUAAAAGUUGCUAUACUUAUCUGUAAA